rnacentral:rRNA from 1 species
GGAUAACCUGCCCUAAGGAAGGGGAUAACCUCGGGAAACUGAGGAUAAUACCCUAUAGGAUACCGAUGCUGGAAUGCCCGGUAUCCCAAAGCUCCGGCGCCUUAGGAUGGAUCUGCGGCCGAUUAGGUCGUUGUUGGGGUAACGGCCCAACAAGCCGAUAAUCGGUACGGGUUGUGGGAGCAAGAGCCCGGAGUUGGAUUCUGGGACACGAAUCCAGGCCCUACGGGGCGCAGCAGGCGCGAAAACUUUACAAUGCGGGCAACCGUGAUAAGGGAACCUCGAGUGCCUGUACAUGCAGGCUGUCUGGGUGUCUAAAACACACCCAAAGAAAGGGCCGGGCAAGACCGGUGCCAGCCGCCGCGGUAAUACCGGCGGCUCGAGUGGUGGCCACUUUUAUUGGGCUUAAAGCGUUCGUAGCUGGGUUGUUAAGUCUCUUGGGAAAUCUGGCAGCUUAACUGUCAGGCGUCUAAGAGAUACUGGCAAUCUAGGAACCGGGAGAGGUGAGGGGUACUUCGGGGGUAGGAGUGAAAUCCUGUAAUCCUCGAGGGACCACCUGUGGCGAAGGCGCCUCACCAGAACGGCUUCGACAGUGAGGGACGAAAGCUGGGGGAGCAAACCGGAUUAGAUACCCGGGUAGUCCCAGCCGUAAACGAUGCGCGUUAGGUGUGUCGAUGACCAUGAGUCAUCGAGGUGCCGAAGGGAAACCGUGAAACGCGCCGCCUGGGAAGUACGGUCGCAAGGCUGAAACU